rnacentral:rRNA from 1 species
CCUACGGGGGGCAGCAGUGGGGAAUAUUGCACAAUGGGCGCAAGCCUGAUGCAGCCAUGCCGCGUGUGUGAAGAAGGCCUUCGGGUUGUAAAGCACUUUCGGCGGGGAGGAAGGCGUUAAGGUUAAUAACCUUGGCGAUUGACGUUACCCGCAGAAGAAGCACCGGCUAACUCCGUGCCAGCAGCCGCGGUAAUACGGAGGGUGCAAGCGUUAAUCGGAAUUACUGGGCGUAAAGCGCACGCAGGCGGUCUGUCAAGUCGGAUGUGAAAUCCCCGGGCUCAACCUGGGAACUGCAUUCGAAACUGGCAGGCUAGAGUCUUGUAGAGGGGGGUAGAAUUCCAGGUGUAGCGGUGAAAUGCGUAGAGAUCUGGAGGAAUACCGGUGGCGAAGGCGGCCCCCUGGACAAAGACUGACGCUCAGGUGCGAAAGCGUGGGGAGCAAACAGGAUUAGAUACCCUAGUAGUC